rnacentral:rRNA from 1 species
AUACGUAGGGGGCGAGCGUUGUCCGGAAUGAUUGGGCGUAAAGGGCGCGUAGGCGGCCCGGUAAGUCUGGAGUGAAAGUCCUGUUUUUAAGAUGGGAAUUGCUUUGGAUACUGUCGGGCUUGAGUGCAGGAGAGGUAAGUGGAAUUCCCAGUGUAGCGGUGAAAUGCGUAGAGAUUGGGAGGAACACCAGUGGCGAAGGCGACUUACUGGACUGUAACUGACGCUGAGGCGCGAAAGUGUGGGGAGCAAACAGGAUUAGAUACCCUGGUAGUCCACACUGUAAACGAUGAAUGCUAGGUGUAGGAGGUAUCGACCCCUUCUGUGCCGCAGUAAACACAGUAAGCAUUCCGCCUGGGGAGUACGGUCGCAAGAUUAAAACUCAAAUGAAUUGACGGGG